rnacentral:lncRNA from 1 species
UUUUGACCCCUUCAAGACUUCACAACAGCCUCUAUCACACAUCUGUUUUCCUCAAAGAAAAAAAUAUAUAUAAUAAAAUGUGUUUUGCUCUUUUACACUGUAUAAUUUUAAGAAAUGUGUUAUUUGUGAAUGCAUGGUCUGACAUUUCUGUACAGUUUGAAGACAUAGAACAAAGACAGCAACAGUAAAGCCAAGAUCGUUAGUAUUUUUAUAAAGACAUUUUAAGAAUGGACAGAUGGAUUCUUACACUAGGUUAUAUCACGACUUUUCGCUUGAGUUUUGAAUGCUUUUAAUGGUGUUUAUCUUAUUUUUCUUCUGAAAUAAGAUGCAUGUUUGAAGCAUAUCUCUAGCAUCAAAAUUUUCCACAAUUGUGUUGUAAAUGUGUGGACUCCCUCUGCCUGGCCCAGUGUCAGGCCCUGUUAUUAGUAACGCGGUGUAGAAAUGAGCUUCUGCAGUACUAGCUCUGUAAUCCUGGCUCCCAGGGAUCUCUCUGCAAGACAAUCAGUGCCCCCAAGAGCAUUUGCCAUUGUAGUAUAUUCACCACUGGGCAAAGACUACUUAGGUAAUGUCUCUGAAACCCAUGGCCACUCCAGCUGAGACUAUACCAACUGUGCCCAGGGACAUAGUGACAUUCUAUACUUAGCAUUUAUGAUAGCACCCUCAGAGUGUGUAACCUAAUAUAUAUCACCCACCUUCCAUAAACUGUCUCCAUUUCCCCAGUGGAACCUUAUAUUUAAGGGGAGGGACCUUAGUUUGGAGGUAACCAUUGCCUCAAGAGGAGCAGGCCCUGCCCACUCAGCCUGCAGUGGACAUCACAUCUCUCUCAAGUGAUUCAGCAAAGCAUUGGCCUACCUGAGUAGCUAGCUGGUCUGGCAGCCAUGUCAGAUAGACCGCCCAUCAUGUUCUCUGGACGUGCUCAUCUUGAGACUACCUACUACAUUGCACAGGGCAGGGAAUGAAACAGUGGCCCUCUGCAAUGAAUACCCUUGCUUCAAGACUUCAAGGCCCAAAGUUAGUCUUGUGUUAUGUGCAACACAUUUCCAGAGGCUGUGACAGCACAGCCUCUCCUGCUCCUCAAAAAAGAGCUAUGUAUUAUUAUGUUGACCUCAGAAUUCCCAGCUGCUGUUACUAGACAUAAUCACAAUCUUUGUAUCUUUGUUUUUGAUCUGCUUGUGUUGUGUUGAAAAGGGUCAUAUUUUAAUGAUUUUUGUCAGUGGUUUGGGAGGGUUAUUUCAUUAUUUUUCAUGAGAAGUAAUGUCAAGUUUUUAAAGGUUUAAAAAAAGAAACACCAAGGCCUGGAAUAUGGGCCUUUUCACUGUAAACUAGAGGACGGGGGCAGGCAGCACUGGGAACUUAGACAUCCAAGCUGGUGUUCAGGGACUGCUCAUGGCCCCAGCCCCCGUGCCACUUGACUGUGAGACUCCUACUUGCUUUAUCAUCAAUUAUGCUUUUAUAAAUUGUGUAAAGGUACUUUUGUAUUGUCAUUUUUUAAAAAAAAUAAUAAAAGUUUAUUCCAGCCAUU